rnacentral:rRNA from 1 species
GACGAAGGGGGCUAGCGUUGCUCGGAAUCACUGGGCGUAAAGCGCACGUAGGCGGCUUUCUAAGUCAGGGGUGAAAUCCUGGAGCUCAACUCCAGAACUGCCUUUGAUACUGGAGAGCUUGAGUCCGGGAGAGGUGAGUGGAACUCCGAGUGUAGAGGUGAAAUUCGUAGAUAUUCGGAAGAACACCAGUGGCGAAGGCGGCUCACUGGCCCGGUACUGACGCUGAGGUGCGAAAGCGUGGGGAGCAAACAGG